UACGGAGGGGGUUAGCGUUGUUCGGAAUGACUGGGCGUAAAGCGCGCGUAGGCGGAUCACCAAGUCGGGGGUGAAAUCCCGGGGCUCAACCCCGGAAUGGCCUUCGAGACUGGUGGUCUUGAGUUCGAGAGAGGUGAGUGGAAUUCCGAGUGUAGAGGUGAAAUUCGUAGAUAUUCGGAGGAACACCAGUGGCGAAGGCGGCUCACUGGCUCGACACUGACGCUGAGGUGCGAAAGCGUGGGGAGCAAACAGG
rnacentral:rRNA from 1 species